UGAGCGUCAGUGCAGGCCCAGGGGAUUGCCUUCGCCAUCGGUGUUCCUCCGCAUAUCUACGCAUUUCACUGCUACACGCGGAAUUCCAUCCCCCUCUGCCGCACUCUAGCCUUGCAGUCACAAUGGCAGUUCCCAGGUUGAGCCCGGGGAUUUCACCACUGUCUUACAAAACCGCCUGCGCACGCUUUACGCCCAGUAAUUCCGAUUAACGCUUGCACCCUACGUAUUACCGCGGCUGCUGGCACGUAGUUAGCCGGUGCUUAUUCUUACGGUACCGUCAUGACCCGGGGAUAUUAGCCCCAGGCUUUUCGUUCCGUACAAAAGCAGUUUACAACCCGAGGGCCUUCAUCCUGCACGCGGCAUUGCUGGAUCAGGCUUUCGCCCAUUGUCCAAAAUUCCCCACUGCUGCCUCCCGUAGGAGUCUGGGCCGUGUCUCAGUCCCAGUGUGGCUGGUCGUCCUCUCAGACCAGCUACAGAUCGCAGGCUUGGUAAGCCUUUACCCCACCAACUACCUAAUCUGCCAUCAGCCGCUCUAGUAGCACAAGGCCCGAAGGUCCCCUGCUUUCAUCCGUAGAUCUCAUGCGGUAUUAGCUACUCUUUCGAGUAGUUAUCCCCCACUACUAGGCACGUUCCGAUGUAUUACUCACCCGUUCGCCACUCGUCAGCAUCCGAAGACCUGUUACCGUUCGACUUGCAUGUGUAAAGCAUGCCGCCAGCGUUCAAU
rnacentral:rRNA from 1 species